GCAUAAUAAUUAGCCUCUUAAUUAGAGGCUAGAAUGAAUGGCGUCACGAAGGAAAUUCUGUCUCUAUUACACAAGUUGAAUUUAAUUUUUAAGUCAAAAAGCUUAAAUAAAUUUGAAGGACGAGAAGACCCUAUAGAUCUUUAUAAACAAUUAAUAAAUAAUAUAUUUAUUAUUUGUUUAUUUUAUUGGGGCGAUAUGAAGAUAAAAUUAACUCUUUAAUUAAAAUUUCAUGAAUGUUUGAUUUAUUGAUCCUUAGUUUAAGAUUAUAAGUUUAAGUUACCUUAGGGAUAACAGCGUUAUUUUUCUAAAGAGUUCUAAUCGAAAGAAAAGCUUGCGACCUCGAUGUUGGACUAAGGGAUAUUUUAGGUGUAGCAGCUUAAAUAUUUGGUCUGUUCGACCAUUAAAACCUUACAU
rnacentral:rRNA from 1 species